GGCAGCAGCCAGGUCGGCAUCGCAAUCGGCCGUUUUCGUGGCGGCAUCGCCGGCGCGCUGGCGGCGUGGCUCGGCUUCACGUUGCCAUCA
rnacentral:tRNA from 1 species